GACGAACGCUGGCGGCGUGCUUAACACAUGCAAGUCGAACGGAAAGGCCCUGCUUGCAGGGUACUCGAGUGGCGAACGGGUGAGUAACACGUGGGUUAUCUGCCCUGCACUUCGGGAUAAGCCUGGGAAACUGGGUCUAAUACCGGAUAGGAGCCAUUUUUAGUGUGAUGGUUGGAAAGUUUUUUCGGUGUAGGAUGAGCCCGCGGCCUAUCAGCUUGUUGGUGGGGUAAUGGCCUACCAAGGCGGCGACGGGUAGCCGGCCUGUGAGGGUGGACAGCCACAUUGGGACUGAGAUACGGCCCAGACACCUACGGGAGGCAGCAGUGGGGAAUAUUGAACGAUGGGCGCAAGCCUGAUGCAGCGACGCCGCGUGGGGGAUGACGGCCUUCGGGUUGUAAACUCCUUUCGCUAGGGACGAAGCUUUUUGUGACGGUACCUAGAGAAGAAGCACCGGCUAACUACGUG
rnacentral:rRNA from 1 species